UGCCAGCCGCCGCGGUAAUACGGAGGGUGCAAGCGUUGUUCGGAAUUAUUGGGCGUAGAGCGCGUGUAGGCGAUUCGUUAAGUCUGAUGUGAAAGCCCGGGGCUCAACCCCGGAAGUGCAUUGGAAACUGGCGAACUUGAAUGUUGGAGAGGGAAGUGGAAUUUCCAGUGUAGCGGUGAAAUGCGUAGAUAUCGGAAGGAACACCAGUGGCGAAGGCGGCUUCCUGGCCAAACAUUGACGCUGAGGUGCGAAAGCGUGGGGAGCGAACAGGAUUAGAUA
rnacentral:rRNA from 1 species